rnacentral:rRNA from 1 species
GAUGAACGCUGGCGGCGUGCCUAAUACAUGCAAGUCGAACGCACAGCGAAAGGUGCUUGCACCUUUCAAGUGAGUGGCGAACGGGUGAGUAACACGUGGACAACCUGCCUCAAGGCUGGGGAUAACAUUUGGAAACAGAUGCUAAUACCGAAUAAAACUUAGUGUCGCAUGACACAAAGUUAAAAGGCGCUUCGGCGUCACCUAGAGAUGGAUCCGCGGUGCAUUAGUUAGUUGGUGGGGUAAAGGCCUACCAAGACAAUGAUGCAUAGCCGAGUUGAGAGACUGAUCGGCCACAUUGGAACUGAGACACGGCCCAAACUCCUACGGGAGGCUGCAGUAGGGAAUCUUCCACAAUGGGCGAAAGCCUGAUGGAGCAACGCCGCGUGUGUGAUGAAGGCUUUCGGGUCGUAAAGCACUGUUGUAUGGGAAGAACAGCUAGAAUAGGAAAUGAUUUUAGUUUGACGGUACCAUACCAGAAAGGGACGGCUAAAUACGUG